rnacentral:tRNA from 1 species
GCAUGUGGCUCAAUGGUGGAACACUUGCCUAGUGUAUGCAAAGGCCUGGGUUUGAUUCCCAGCACUGCG